AGUGGCUGCUAUAACCUCAAACAUAAACCAUUUCCUUAACCAAACCAAACCCUAAACUUUCCUUUUGGUUGAUUCAUGUCAUGCCAAAGUGUUCAACAUCUCACACAAAGCUCCUCGCACACUCACUGCGAACACAUCUUCAUCUGGGUUUCUCCCAAACCCAAACACUUCCCUAUUACUCUUACUCUUCUUCCAACCAACCCCAUGAACCUCUUCCUCCAGUUUCAGCUGAAAUCUUCAAACCAGGUACCAAAAUGGGUUCUUACAAAUUGGGUGAUUUAACUUUCUAUUCCCUCAUUGAGAAUUACGCCACUUCCUUUGAUUUCGGGUCCUUGGAAGAGGUCCUGUAUCAAAUGAAGCGCGAAAGGAGAGUUUUUAUCGAAAAGAAUUUCAUUGUUAUGUUCAAAGCUUAUGGGAAAGCCCAUUUGCCUGAAAAAGCUCUGGACUUGUUUCACAGAAUGGGGUCUGAUUUUCAAUGUAGGCUAACUGUGAAAUCAUUCAAUUCUGUUCUCAAUGUGAUUAUUCAAGAGGGUCUUUUCAAUCGUGCUUUGGAGUUUUAUUCUCAUGUUACUGCAUCCAAGAGUUUUAACAUACAUCCAAAUUCACUCACUUUCAACUUGGUAAUCAAGGCCUUGUGUAAGCUUGGUUUGGUUGAUCAGGCUGUGGAAGUUUUCAGAGGGAUCCCUCUUAGGAAUUGUGCUCCUGAUACUUAUACAUACUCUACACUGAUGCAUGGGUUGUGCAAGGAGGGUAGAAUUGAUGAGGCUGUUUCUUUAUUGGAUGAGAUGCAGAUUGAAGGCACCUUCCCUAACCCUGUUGCGUUUAAUGUGUUGAUCAGUGCAUUGUGUAAGAAGGGUGACUUGGUCCGUGCAGCCAAGCUUGUUGAUAAUAUGUUUCUUAAGGGUUGUGUCCCUAAUGAAGUGACAUAUAAUUCCCUUCUUCAUGGAUUGUGUCUCAAGGGUAAGUUGGACAAGGCGGUGAGUCUCUUGAAUCAAAUGGUGUUGAAAAAAUGCAUGCCUAAUGAUGUUACUUAUGGAACACUCAUUAAUGGGUUUGUUAAGCAAGGUAGAGCUUCUGAUGGAGCUCGGGUGUUGAUCUCCUUGGAAGAGAGAGGUCAUCGUGGGAAUAAGUAUAUUUACUCAUCCCUUAUUAGUGGCCUGUUCAAGGAAGGAAAAUUCAAACAUGCAAUGAAAUUGUGGAAUGAAAUGGUUGAAAAAGGAUGUGAACCUAAUACUGUAGUGUAUAGUGCUCUUAUAGAUGGUCUUUGCCGAGAAGGGAAACCAGAUGAAGCAAGGGAGGUCCUAUUUGACAUGAAGAAUAAAGGUUACCUGCCCAAUUCUUUCACUUAUAGCUCCCUAAUGAGGGGUUUCUUUGAAGCAGGCAAUAGCCAUGAAGCUCUUCUUGUUUGGAAAGAGAUGGCAAAUAACAAUUGUAAUCAUAAUGAGGUUUGUUACAGUAUACUCAUUAAUGGCUUAUGCAAGGAUGGGAAGCUUACAGAGGCCUUAAUGGUAUGGAAGCAAAUGCUGAGUAGAGGAAUUAAAUUAGAUGUUGUGGCUUACAGUUCAAUGAUUCAUGGCUUUUGUAAUGCUCACUUAGUAGAACAGGGCCUGAAACUUUUCCAUCAGAUGCUUUGUCAGGAGCCGGAGUCACAACCAGAUGUGAUUACAUAUAACAUACUCAUAAAUGCUUUCUGCAUGCAGAAGAAUAGUAUCUCCCGUGCUAUUGAAAUUCUAAAUAUUAUGCUAGAUCAAGGUUGUGACCCUGAUUUUAUUACUUGCGAUAUUUUCUUGAAAACUUUAAGAGAAAAUAUGAACCCACCUCAAGAUGGGAGGGAGUUUCUAGAUGAGCUUGUAGUACGGUUAGUUAAGCGGCAGAAAACAGUAGGUGCUUCCAAAAUUAUAGAAGUGAUGCUUCAUAAAUUUUUGCUGCCAAAAGCUUCUACUUGGGCCAUAGUUGUUCAACAGCUCUGCAAACCUAAGAAAGUUCGAGAAGCCAUUAGUGAAUGUUGGAGCAGGCUGUGUUGCUGAUAUCUUGUAAGAUAUUAUUCAACUAAAAUUUCCUUGAAGCCUAGAAAAUAUGGAAUUCUUGAUCAGGGUCCUCAAGCAUAGGGCCUCAAACUUUCAAAAGACAGAUACAAUGAUACACAUCAGAUAUGGAACUUUCCUUCUCCUAAUUUAAUUUUUUCUGCUUGGAGAUAUUGGCUUGAGCCAAACAGGUGACAAAUGACAAUCGUACCACUUAGUCCAAUGCAGCUGUUUAAACCUCUUACAAUCAUUUUAAACGUACUAAAAUGUCUUUUGUCUGUCUAAAAUAUUAAUAUUAUGCAACCUACAGUGGUGAUAAUAUUCCUAAAAGGGUGAGAAAGUGCAACUGGAGGAGGAAAUAUUCCUAAAAGGAUUGCAUUUGUGCAAGGCAAAUGAAAUUCAAUGAUGAUGAACUUUGAACUGGAUUGCUACUGGAUGCCAAUGUACUGAAGUGCAAUUUUCUUUUGUGGGCAAGUGCAGAGUGCAUAUGGUGCUUUGUCCUGAGUGCAAAAAAAAGAAUGCAAGGCUCAUUUUCUGAUUAUAAUUGUUUCUCAGACCAAGCAUUAUCUAUCCUUGCACUAAAUUACUUGUCUCCCUGCUCUUUUCCUUUUAAAUUGGUCAGGGACCCUGCGUCUGUAAAAAUAUUAAAGUUCUGUAAUUGACUUUAAUUAUCACAAAUAUAGAUAAAGAUUGAGUGGGAAAAUUGUGGGGCUGUGAUUGAUGAAACAGAUAGCCAAAGUGUAGGCAAUUUUGUUU